rnacentral:rRNA from 1 species
GAUGAACGCUGGCGGCGUGCCUAAUACAUGCAAGUCGAGCGAAUGGAUUGAGAGCUUGCUCUUAUGAAGUUAGCGGCGGACGGGUGAGUAACACGUGGGUAACCUGCCCAUAAGACUGGGAUAACUCCGGGAAACCGGGGCUAAUACCGGAUAACAUUUUGAACCGCAUGGUUCGAAAUUGAAAGGCGGCUUCGGCUGUCACUUAUGGAUGGACCCGCGUCGCAUUAGCUAGUUGGUGAGGUAACGGCUCACCAAGGCAACGAUGCGUAGCCGACCUGGGAGGGUGAGCGGCCACGCUGGGACGGAGACACGGCCCAGACUCCUACGGGAGGCGGCAGUAGGGAAUCUUCCGCAAUGGAGGAAAGUCUGACGGAGCAACGCCGCGUGAGUGAUGAAGGCUUUCGGGUCGUAAAACUCUGUUGUUAGGGAAGAACAAGUGCUAGUUGAAUAAGCUGGCACCUUGACGGUACCUAACCAGAAAGCCACGGCUAACUACGUGCCAGCCGCCGCGGUAA